UACGUGUANGGGGCUGACUGUACCNUANGAAUAAGNAUCGGCUAACUCCGUGCCAGCAGCCGCGGUAAUACGGAGGAUGCAAGCGUUAUCCGGAUUUAUUGGGUUUAAAGGGUGCGUAGGCGGACUAUUAAGUCAGUGGUGAAAUCNUACAGCUUAACUGUGNAANUGCCAUUGAUACUGNUNGUCUUGAGUACAGNUGAAGUAGGCGGAAUGUGNCAUGUAGCGGUGAAAUGCUUAGAUAUNACACAGAACACCGAUUGCGAAGGCAGCUUNCUAAACUGUUACUGACNCUGAUGCACGAAAGCGUGGGGAGCNAACAGGAUUAGAUACCCUGGUAGUCCACGCCNUAAACGAUGAUUACUCGUUGUUGGCGAUANANAGUCAGCGNCUGAGCGAAAGCNUUAAGUUAUCCACCUGGGGAGUACGGNCGCAAGACUG
rnacentral:rRNA from 1 species